ACCUUCUUGUAUAAGCACUGUGCUAAAAUUGCAGAAACUAGGAUAAUAUCUUGGUUACUGUAAUAAUGCUAGCAGAGUACACACAAGAAGAAAAGUAACUGCACUGGAUUCCCAAAGACAGGGGUGGACCUCUUUUUUAAUGUCCAGUGUCCUUUGUCUUAAGAUUUGGUGCAAUAAGU